rnacentral:rRNA from 1 species
GGAGUUAGCCGGUGCUUCUUCUGUGAGUGAUGUCCUUCCUGCCGGCUAUUAACCCGCAGGCCUUCUUCCUCACUGAAAGUGCUUUACAACCCGAAGGCCUUCUUCACACACGCGGAAUGGCUGGAUCAGGGUUGCCCCCAUUGUCCAAUAUUCCCCACUGCUGCCUCCCGUAGGAGUCUGGGCCGUGUCUCAGUCCCAGUGUGGCUGAUCAUCCUCUCAGACCAGCUACGGAUCGUCGCCUUGGUGAGCCGUUACCUCACCAACCAGCUAAUCCGACAUAGGCUCAUCCGAUAGCGCGAGGCCCGAAGGUCCCCCGCUUUCCCCCGUAGGGCGUAUGCGGUAUUAGCCUGGGUUUCCCCCAGGUUAUCCCCCCACUACCGGGGCAGAUUCCUAUGCAUUACUCACCCGUCCGCCGCUCGCCACCAGGGAGCAAGCUCCCCGUGCUGCCGCUCGACUUGCAUGUGUUAGGCCUGCCGCCAGCGUUCAAUCUGAGCCAGGAUCAAACUCUGA